rnacentral:rRNA from 1 species
AAGCGUGGGGGAGCAAAACAGGGAUUAGAUACCCUGGGUAGUCCACGCCCGUAAAACGAUGAGUGGCUAAGUGUUAGAGGGUUUCCGCCCUUUAGUGCUGAAGUUAACGCAUUAAGCACUCCGCCUGGGGAGUACGGCCGCAAGGCUGAAACUCAAAGGAAUUGACGGGGGCCCGCACAAGCGGUGGAGCAUGUGGUUUAAUUCGAAGCAACGCGAAGAACCUUACCAGGUCUUGACAUCCUCUGAAAACCCUAGAGAUAGGGCUUCUCCUUCGGGAGCAGAGUGACAGGUGGUGCAUGGUUGUCGUCAGCUCGUGUCGUGAGAUGUUGGGUUAAGUCCCGCAACGAGCGCAACCCUUGAUCUUAGUUGCCAUCAUUAAGUUGGGCACUCUAAGGUGACUGCCGGUGACAAACCGGAGGAAGGUGGGGAUGACGUCAAAUCAUCAUGCCCCUUAUGACCUGGGCUACACACGUGCUACAAUGGACGGUACAAAGAGCUGCAAGACCGCGAGGUGGAGCUAAUCUCAUAAAACCGUUCUCAGUUCGGAUUGUAGGCUGCAACUCGCCUACAUGAAGCUGGAAUCGCUAGUAAUCGCGGAUCAGCAAGGAGGGGUGAAUACGUUCCCGGGCCUUGUACACACCGCCCGCCUCUCCACGAGAGUUUGUAACACCCGAAGUCGGUGGGGUAACCUUUUGGAGCCAGCCGCCUAAGGUUGAGCAGGGUAAAUG